GUUUCGUUGGUGCAGUGGUAGCAUGCCCUCUUAGGGUUCUGAUCUUUACAGAGCUUUGGGGGUGGUCCUCGGUUCAAUCCCGGGACGAGACC